rnacentral:rRNA from 1 species
UACGGAGGGGGCUAGCGUUGUUCGGAAUUACUGGGCGUAAAGCGCACGUAGGCGGCUUUGUAAGUUAGAGGUGAAAGCCCGGAGCUCAACUCCGGAAUUGCCUUUAAAACUGCAUCGCUAGAAUUGUGGAGAGGUAAGUGGAAUUCCGAGUGUAGAGGUGAAAUUCGUAGAUAUUCGGAAGAACACCAGUGGCGAAGGCGACUUACUGGACACAUAUUGACGCUGAGGUGCGAAAGCGUGGGGAGCAAACAGG